AAACAAACAGUUAUUGUGCUUCAAUCAAUAUGAACGCCAAACGGACUAUGUAACAUAAUGGGUUUUAACGUUUACAUUGUAUUUCUAAUGUAUUUUAUAUUAAAUUUGGAUCAUGAACAAAAUGUGGUUAAUGCUUAUCACAAAGUGAUUCCUCUAGGGCAUAUUGAAAGCUUGGAAUCCCUCAGAAAUACCGACAAUGACCGUUCCGUUAGCUCUGAGGUGUCAGAGUUUCAAUAUAAAUCGAGGAGGUUAGUGAAAGAUAACAAAAAGGCAAAGACAAGGCCAGUAAAAAGCAGUAAGUUGCAUAAAAAGAGAUCGCAACAAAAGAAGGAGGACCACAAAAUCAAGAAAAAAGAGACGAGAGCGAGGAAGAGAUUUGUGAAAUCGUCACAUCAACGAGAUUCUAAUUUGUCUGGUAGUCGAGAGGAUCGCAGAAGUAGGAAACCAACGGAUAUAUAUGUUCAUAUUAAAAUGCAAGAUUAAAUGUA